rnacentral:rRNA from 1 species
UACAGAGGUCUCAAGCGUUGUUCGGAUUCAUUGGGCGUAAAGGGUGCGUAGGUGGCGCUGUAAGUCAGGUGUGAAAUUUCGGAGCUUAACUCCGAAACUGCAUUUGAUACUGCGGUGCUCGAGGACUGGAGAGGAGACUGGAAUUUACGGUGUAGCAGUGAAAUGCGUAGAGAUCGUAAGGAAGACCAGUGGCGAAGGCGGGUCUCUGGACAGUUCCUGACACUGAGGCACGAAGGCCCAGGGGAGCAAACGGG